GAGCCAGUAUGUGUAGUGGUUUGAGUGUUAGAUUAAGACUUUGGAGAACAGGGUUCAAAUCCCUGCUUGGCCA